rfam:Penicillium coprophilum strain IBT 31321 PENCOP_contig001, whole genome shotgun sequence.
UGAGGCCUCCGACGUGACACAACAUCCUGCAGCGGUGUUGUGUGAAUGUGACCUGCAGUGUCCGUCGCCGGCCUCG